CUCUCUUAGAAUGUUUGCAUGCAUACACUGAUGGUUUUUUUUUUACUUCCUCAUUCUGCAGUCAGUAGUUUGAGAAAGGUUGCAGGAGUUUAAGGAAAGGGAAAUAAGGUUAAAGAAGGAUACUGUGCCUUGUUCUAAGGUUCUAAAAUCCAGUUGUCUUGAAACAAAUACCGCUGCUGGGGCCAGCGAGCAAGAGUGCCAUCUGCUCCAUGCCCAGAUCUAUUUGCAAGACAAAUGGGCCCAUUGUUUCUGCAUGGGUAAACAGUACCCGUCCUGGGAGGUCGGGGCUACAUGAGGUAAGGAGAUUCUAGAUCAAAUGCAUGUAGGAGAUUUUGGAGAUAAGGACAGUAACGAUAAGUGUACUCUCUGACCGUGUUUCAGUGGUACAGUAAAACCACAAAGCACUGAGCUUGUGUGAGCUCUGGUUGUUCAAAAUAUAUAGAGGAGUUAACUUUCUACCAGCAGGCUUCAUGCCAGUCAGGGUAUCAUUUUUCCCUCUAUGGCCAACCUAAAAAUGUAAUGCUGCCUUAAGCUUUCUAUCGUUUCCUAUAGCAAAUUCUCCAAAGAGGUGGCUGUGUACCGAUGCCUGACACAAGGCCUGUGCGUUGCAGAUCAAGAGAGUUUGUGAGAUUCUGUACGCUUGGGACACCAUACAAAGUGGGUGUCAUCCCACUCCUUACUUUUGGCAAUAAAGGCUUACGUUUGAAAAUGCUCCUUACAAAAGAUCAACACGAAGGUAUUUUCUUUUUUUUCCAGCAGAAUAAAACUUCUUCCAUCCUAGCUGAAAACUGUGUUGCUUUUUUAAAAACUCUGCAUAGAUCUGAGUGAAAAGAUGAGAACCAUAUACAAGGUGUACCUUUCAGACUUCCAACAAAAUGAGGCCUUAAAG